CAACAAUAUGGCCGCCGCUCUCCUGUUUUGCUGGUUAUCUCUGGAAUAUACACCGAUUUUAUGAGGAGGUACGGAAAACAGAGACGCCUGGCCUCUCUAUUUACCCAGGGAGGAAGGCCGGUGUUGGUCCCCCUCAUCGCUCAACCUACCCCAAGAAGACAAAGUGUACCACCGUUCCCUACCAGGAUACUCCCCAUUUUCUUAUAGUUUUUAGACCGGGUCUUUCACAAGGGCGUUUAUCUUUUAUGAAUCGGCUCAAAUAUUUUUCUUACUGGGAGGUUACUCCAGGACUGGCCCACAGCAAUCUACCUAAUUGAUUCCUUCCAGAUAUGCCAAGUUUAUACUAUAUCCCUUUCUGGUAUUACACAUUGGUAGGCGGUCCUAGAAUGGAGUAACUGGGAUGGAAAAUAUCCAUUCUGUGCUGCUGUAGGACGAAGAAGAAAGUGUGUAUAUAGGCCGUGAAGGCGAAACUGGUUGGGUAUGCAAGAGAGAAAGAAACCUUUUAAUGCCUUUUAAGACGUUUUAUUUAGUGAGUAAGGGGGGCUGUUUCCUAUGUUUUGUGGAUCUUAGCAAGGGUGCUUUUUAUUGUCUGUCUUUCUAAGUGCACCAUAAGGUUAUCAGUCACCGUCCAAAGGAACUACAUGGAAUUUAUGGGAGCAUAGAAACCAUGUGGCGACCGGACCAGGGGUCAAGUCCUGGGAAAAAGAAGUGUGGGAACUCACCCAAGAUCCACUGCCACCCCGACCCCCCACCCAAAAAAUAA